rnacentral:rRNA from 1 species
UACGUAGGUGGCAAGCGUUAUCCGGAAUUAUUGGGCGUAAAGAUCGCGCAGGUGGUUGAUUAAGUCUGAUGUGAAAGCCCACGGCUUAACCGUGGAGGGUCAUUGGAAACUGGUCGACUUGAGUGCAGAAGAGGGAAGUGGAAUUCCAUGUGUAGCGGUGAAAUGCGUAGAGAUAUGGAGGAACACCAGUGGCGAAGGCGGCUUCCUGGUCUGUAACUGACGCUGAGGCUCGAAAGCGUGGGGAGCAAACAGGAUUAGAUACCCGU